UGUGUAGGAGUAGCUGGAGACUGUGAAGCGCUAACGCCAGUUAGUGUGGAGUCGUCGUUGAAUACCAGUCCGGUCGUGCUGGAUGUCUAACCUGGGUCCGUGAUCCGGAUCAGGGACAGUGUCUGAUGGGUAGUUUAACUGGGGCGGUUGCCUCCUAAAGAGUAACGGAGGCGCCCAAAGGUUCCCUCAGCCUGGUUGGCAAUCAGGUGUUGAGUGUAAGUGCACAAGGGAGCUU
rnacentral:ncRNA from 1 species